GAGGCGAACCGGGGGAACUGAAACAUCUAAGUACCCCGAGGAAAAGAAAUCAACCGAGAUUCCGAAAGUAGCGGCGAGCGAAAUUGGACUAGCCCUUAAGCUUUACACGCGUUAGACGAACGGUCUGGAAAGUCCGACGAUACAGGGUGAUAGUCCCGUAGUUGACGACGUGUGUUCAGUGAAAUCGAGUAGGGCGGGACACGUGAUAUCCUGUCUGAAUAUGGGGGGACCAUCCUCCAAGGCUAAAUACUACUGACUGACCGAUAGUGAACCAGUACCGUGAGGGAAAGGCGAAAAGAACCCCUGUGAGGGGAGUGAAAUAGAACCUGAAACCGUGUACGUACAAGCAGUAGGAGCACCUUCGUGGUGUGACUGCGUACCUUUUGUAUAAUGGGUCAGCGACUUAUAUUCA
rnacentral:rRNA from 1 species